AAUAACAUCUUCACUCUACCUGGACUAACAUCUACACUCUGCCUGGACUAACAUCUACACUCUGCCUGGACUAACAUCUACACUCUGCCUGGACUAACUAAUAUCUACACUCUGCCUGGACUAAUGUGUGUCUCCCUAACUGACUCCCACAGAGACAGAUAUGUAGAGACUUUGAUGGAAACCUGGAGUGGCUGAGGUUCGGAACUUCGGGAGCAGUGGAGAGGUCAGGGGGAGCGUCCCAGGAACGGCACAGGGGAGGUUAGAGUUUGGCAGAGUGCCAAACUCCCGGGAACGUGAUCUGGAUCCAAUUCCUGGUCCAAUAAGCUGGACCCGGAAUAGGAGCCAAUAUUCCGCUAAGCUCUUCCCAUUCCCAAACCCCUCUGGAAUACUUCAUAACAUUCCAAGAUUCUUUCCAACAUCCUUCAACAGUGUGCAGGUGUGCUAUUAGUGUGAUACUACAACAAACACAUGUCAGUGGAAAGAAUGUAGCCUCAUGCCUGUUCACUUACUUAGCUCUGAUCCUAUAGGGUAUGACGUUAGUCUGCUUUAAGCAUAGUAAAUGAGACAUUGAAGUCUUUCUUCUAAGGGGGAAUUCCAAACUGUGGCGGAGAUCAUUGUAUAUCUGUUCCACUGGAAUGUGUGGAGAUUCUUUCCCUUCAGCUACACCAGAUAAGAGAUCAAAACGCUCAGCUCCAAGUCUGUGGGUUACCAUUUCAUUAAAAACCACAACCCCAAAUGUUUUUUUGGUGUAUUCAUUUUCGCACAUUCAUUGUCUUGGCAGAGAAUCUAGAUUCAAAGCCCAAAUGCUGGGAAAAGCGAUUAAAUACAC
ensembl:lncRNA